GUGCAUGGAAUGCAUGAUUUGGGGCUCUCUUCCCUUUGUUCAGGCUUCACCUGGAACCACAAAACCCAACCAAGUCUCAGAGCAAGAUGAGAGUUGUUGUCUCUUUCUUCUCCUGCCAGGUUUCUUACCCACAUGAAAGUGAAGCAGCAAGAUGCCAAAGUAAGUCCUAAAUAUUCAAAGAACAUGAAACAAGGUAACAAAUAUAACUCUGCUGGUUUUGUUCACAUCCAUGCAGGUUAGCUGUGUCCCCACUAUGCUUACCCACGCUUCAUUUUUUUCUGUGAAGCCACGGGAAUCCAGCUUUGCCCUCUGUCUUCUGUGAUAGUAAUAGGAAAGCAACCGGAGAACCUGAUGGUGGAUUGAAGCAAAGCAAGUAACAGCUGAGCCUUGGACAAAUAAAUGGAUAUAGGCUGGAUACACAAACUCAGAUUUCAGGAAAGCUUCUAGGUACAAAAUUUUGGAAGCUGAGGUGGCUGGUCCCCCUGAAGCCUUGCCUUCUCCAGACUGGAGAGCCUCUCCUUGCAUGGCAUGUGCCCUGAGCAUCCUGCUGGCCCUCCGCUGGGCUUGCUCCUGUUUGGCAAUGACGCGCUGUGCCGAGCACUAUGGACAGACUGACUGAUGCCUGCACCGACACAUGUGCUUCCAUGUGCCUUUGGGACAAGUGAACAGGUUUUGAUACUAGAAGAAGAUGGUACCACUAGGUCAAGUAUCCCCAGAAUGCUGCUGUUGAAAGAAAAAAUAACACGACCUUGACGAACUCCAUCCACUGAAGAACAAUAUGAAUUUCCAAACUGUGUUGGUCCCACCAGUGGCUUUUUUGGGAAACCAUCCCUUUGGGUUUUCUGCCUGUAAGUAGCCUCCCUGCCCAUGCUGCCUCUCCACUGUCAGCUGCAGUCAUGGUAGACUCUUUGGCCUCAGCAGGAUGAUUUAAUCUGUUCCUCUGAAAUACAGCCAGAUGCUUCCAGUGUCACAUGGAAGAGUUUUGGAGUGGGCACAGAAAAGAGACAGAGCUAUUUGCUUGUAAUAAGUGAAUAAGAUGGAUAAGUAAACAUCUCUGCAGUGCUAGAGAGAGUAAGCACAUCCAAAAUAUUGUGUUCCAAGAGGCAACAUGAACCUUUGCCACUAGAAGCACCAUGCAUUGAAAGCCCCUUUGAUAGGAGCCAGCAAGGGCACCCAACCUCCCACAUUCACCCACUUUUCUCCUUACCUGUAGCACAGUUUAUCGCCUCAAAUUGUGCAUGGUGAUUAGCUAAGGAGAAGAGGCAGAUAGCCCUGCACCUGCUGAACUUCUGACCCUGAAAAUGUUUUAUUUACUAGCUUGAAAGCCUGAUUGCUUGGAAAAGUGUGAAGGUGAGACAUGGGGACUGUUUUCGUUGUGUUGACUUAGAAAAUAAAAGAUUGCAAGAGGAGAAACACUAAGUGUAAGUCACUGAUUUACCCCUGUCCUAUGAAAAAUGGUGCUGAUAUUUCCAGCAAUGGCCAUUUUGUGAUAUUCAGUUGGUAUCUGUAUUGGGGUGUAAGAUUAUUUGUUUCCCAGUGCUCAAGUACUAUUGUGUUUAUAAACAUCUGGGACUAGGAGCUCUCUCUUGGUUAGCGUGGCCUGUGUUCUUGCUGCUAUGGUGUUUUCUGGUUUUCCGUGUGCUUUUGAAAGAUGCAUGGAAAUUAAAGCUGCAUCUGAUUUCCUUUUAAGAGGUACUUAAGAAUGUGUUUGUGUUGGCACUGCAAUGAUGUGGACAAAAUGUACUCUAACAUAAAAAGAGAAAAUGGUGCAUUCUUCUCUAAAUUCAGAUCAAGUGAAAAACACAUCUCCAACUCAUUAGGAGUCUUACACUUGGCUUUUCUGCUAUUGUUUUGGGUCUACAAGUGUGACUAAAAUACAUGAGAAGCAGAGACAUGGUUUAUUGGUUUCCUUACUAAAUAGAGCAUGUUUUAAAAAGUCUUCAGAUAAAUUUUAAUAUAGGCCGUAAAAUAUUUAUAACUUUUAUUAAAAUCUGUUUUGUUGUCAGGGAUUUUUUUUUCUUUUCUGUGAACACCAAAGCUCACUGUGUUAUCACAUGGAUGGCAGCACAUCUAUUUUUCAGUGAUUGAUGUAACACUUUACUGGCAACUGUCAUGACUAAAUGAGUUUUAACUCUUUGUGCCAAAAUACAAUGCAUUGGAUAUCUGCCUCAGUCUGGCUUUUUUGGUCAGGGAUUGGCAAAGGGGGAGUUUUGAAAUGAAACAAUAAAGCUAUUUCAAAAUAUGAAUAAGAGGAAAAGCCUGUCCUUGACACUAUAGCUGUUUUUAUUUUAAAACAACUUUAAGGUUUACAUGCUUCAGAGAAGAGGCCUUGCAAUCUGGUAGAAGGUAGUAUUUUACAGAGGACUUGUGCUUGUCCUGUUUUUCAGGACAAUUUGUCUUGCUCGGGUCAGGCUUAUUAUAUUCACUUUACACUAAAAUCCUAUGCCCAGGAUAGUGGACAGCAAAAACCCUGGACUUUGCUCUUAAUAAACACACCUAAAUCUGAGGAAAAGAGGAAUGCUGUGAAUAAACACAGUAACAAACCCCAGAACUGCAAGGCAUACUGUUGAUAUUUGAUAAAGUGCUUGACUGCAGUGCCCAUUGUAUAAGGUCUACGCUUUGACAGCUUUUUUUUUUUUUUCUCCUAGAAAAAAGAUUAUCUACUGUGUUUCAAGCCCUUUAUCCAAGUUUUGAAAUGCUGAGAACAGGUUCCUUAAGCAGAUGCAAAGUUCAUGAAACAUCGUUUGCUGUGUACCUCUGUGAAACAUAAAUCCUAGGGCAGGUUGUUUUUCAAAUAUUACUUUCUAUUAGCUAGAUUUAUUUUUGCUUUAUUUUUUUUUUUCUAGUGUAGGAAGCUGGAAAAACUUGUGUUAAAGGGAUUUUUUUUUCCCUUCCUUCUUCUGAUAAAACAAAAUAGAAUAAGGGAGUCUGAUGUCAUCUGAAGCAGUUCAUUUAUGUAAACAAUUUAUCACUUGCUAAUAAGUAUUAACAGAUGGCAGCAUUAUUGUGCUAUCUACUCAACUUCUAACAACUGAGGAGAAUGUAUCAGCGCUUCUCUUGUCAUGAAGUUCAACUUUUUGUGUUAUGGAUAUUUUAAUACAAACUUUGUUCUCAUUGUAUUAAAUGCAUUGCAUGCAUUUAAUCAGCAUUCAACAUAAAAUAAUUUAAUACUUGGAAUUAAUAUACAUGUUCAAAUGAAAUGGAAAUACAGUUCUUAAAUAGUCCAGAUAAAAGAUAAAUUACACUACAUAUAAGCAUGAAUGCAAAGUGCUGGUGGCUUUUUAGUAAAGAGAAAUAUCCUGAUUAACACUACAUAUAAGUUUUGCUUUCCAAUUGCUGAUCUUGACAGGGUCAGUGGGCCAACACAAGUUUUUCAAGUGAGAGUUGGGAGAAAUUUUGAGAUCUGACAGUAAGCCACGUUAACUUUAUGCGACCUCUCUUGAGCAUUUAGUCCAUGUUUCAGCUUGAAAUUUAACACCUGUAGAAAAUGCAUCUCACUUAUUU